CGACCGGCGCACGGGUGAGUAACGCGUGUGCAACCUGCCCGGCACAGUGGGAUAAUCCGGAGAAAUCCGGUCUAAUACCGCAUGACGCGGGAAAGGCGCAUGCCUUUUCCGCCAAAGGAGGCGACUCCGGUGCCGGCUGGGCACGCGUGACAUUAGCUAGACGGCGGGGUAACGGCCCACCGUGGCGACGAUGCGUAGGGGUUCUGAGAGGAAGGUCCCCCACACUGGUACUGAGACACGGACCAGACUCCUACGGGAGGCAGCAG
rnacentral:rRNA from 1 species